GCCUAAGUCAGUGCAAAAGGUAUGUUGUCAUUUUAAUAUCAUGUUAAUGGUGUAAUUUGUUAAGAAGUCUAAAUAAUUAUAGAAUUAUCCAUAUAUGUGAAAGACAUCACUAGUCUUUCACAUAUGUAGAGUUCUCUUUUUUAGCAUUGUUUGUCUAAUUAAAAAAUGAGAGCAUUUGCUGUGUAUCAUUGACUAGACAAAACUGUGUAUCAUAACUGUGUUAUCAUUCUCUUGAAAAUAAAAAUUGUCGAAUAAAAAAAACAACUUAUACAUGUUGUAUUAAAAGUAUAUCUGAAAGCAUUGCAGUUUAUAAGUUAUUGAACACUAAAAUUAGUGAUUGGUGUUUCUCUAAUAUAUUAGUGCACAUAGGACAAAUAUUUCUAUUAGUGUACCAGAUUAAUGUGUUAGGUUUCCUUGAACAUUAAUCAAUGUUUGAUGCUAAUGUUUGAAUUAAACACAUGACUUCCCAUGACACCAAUAAACUCUCCCUGUCACACAUUUCUCUUACCUUUCAUAAUCAUGGUUUGUGACUCUGUUCUAGGCAUGUGCAUGGGGAAAAUUUUCGGUUCGGUUCAGCAUUGCGAAAUUCGGGAUUUUCGCAAUUCAGGACUUCGGCAGUUCGUCACUUAAAGACUUCGGAAUUUCGGCAACUUCGGAACUUCGGCACUUCAGCACUUCGGAACUUCGGAAAUAGGCAACUUCGGGACUUCAACACUUCGGCAACUUUGGCACUUCGGCACCUCUGCACUUCGACACUUCGGAAUUUCGGCAUUUCGGGACUUCGGCACUUCGGGACUUCUAUUGCAGCUGCUUAGUAGAUAACUCCCUAAUUCCCACGGUAUUAGGGAGUUAUCUACCAAAAGGUUGAAAGACCUAAAUUGGUCUUUCAGCCAAAUUUACUAAUACUAAGUAAAAAUUACUUAGUAUUAGUAAAUUUUGCCCCUACUUGCUAUACUGCGAGUAGGGGCAUGCCUAUUAAACAGUGAGCAGUUUGGAGACCCCUAGUCACCUGGGGGGGAGGGAGCAUUUUUUUUAGGGCCCCCACCCGCUGCUCAGGGGUGGGGGCCGGAGGGGAGGACAAUAGGUCCCCCCCUUAUUAAUAUUUAGAGCCCCCACCCACCGUUCAGGGGUGGGGGCCAGGGAGGAGGACCUUAGGUCCCCCCCUUAUUAGUAUUUAGGGCCCCCACCCACCGCUCAGGGGUGGGGGCCGGGGGGAGGACAUAAGGUCCCCCCUUAUUCUAGUUUAGGGCCCCCACCCACCGCUCAGGGGUGGGGGCCAGGAGGGAGGACAUUAGGUCCCCCCCCUUAUUCUUGUCUAGGGCCCUGACCCACCACUCAGGGGUGGGGGCCAGGGGGGAGGACAUUAGGGCCCCCCUUUUUCUUGUCUAGGGUCCCCACCCACCACUCAGGGGUGGGGGCCAGGGGGGAAGACAUUAGGUCCCCCCCCUUAUUCUUGUCUAGGGCCCCCACCAGCCGCUCAGGGGUGGGGGCCAGGGGGGAGGACAUUAGGUCACCCCCCUUGUUAGUAUUUAGGGCCCCCACCCGCCGCUCAGGGAAUAGGUGUCCCCCCGUUAUUCCAAUUUAGGGCCCCCACCCGCAGCUCAGGGGUGGGGGCCAGGGGGGAGGACAAUAGGUCCCCCCCAUGAUAUUACUUUAGGGUCCCCACCCGCCGCUCAGGGGUGGCGGCCGGGGGGGCAAUAAGUCCCCCCUUUAGUUUAAAAGCCCCCACUCGCACGUCGCGGGUGGGGGCUCGGGAGGGGUGACCCUAUUUUUUUUUUAAACAGUGAGCAGCCACAGGCUGCUCACUGUUUAAUAGACAUGCCCCUAGUCACGGUAUAGCGAGUAGGGGCAUAAUUUACUAAUACUAAGUCAUCUUUACUUAGUAUUAGUAAAUUUGUCUGAAAGACCAAUUUAGGUCUUUCAGCCUUUUAGUAGAUAGCUCCCUAAUACCGUGGGAAUUAGGGAGUUAUCUACUUAUUCAUUCCUGUCAUUCCAUUGACAGGCUAAGUAACUUACAUUUUAUAUGAAUGUAUGGUACUUGAUUGUAGUAAGUGUUGCAAAUGCUUACAGCUGAAUCCUGGCAAUGUUGGUAUACUUUUUAUUUAAAAUUGUAUACAAUGUAACAUUCUCCUUCUUUCACUGGGUAAGUAUAUUAGUACUUAGGCAAUACUGUGCUUCGGCACUUCAGAACUUCGGCAACUUCGGAACUUCGGCACUUCAGCACUUCGACACUUCGGAAAUUCUGUAAUUUCGGAACUUCGGGACCUUGGCAAUUCAGCACUUCGGCAAUUCGGACAUUCGGAAGUACCCAAAUGUCCGAUUUGCCCGAAAUUCGUCCGAAUCAUAUUCGGACCGAAACGAAUUGCACAUGUCUACUCUGUUCCUUCCUGGUUUUCAUGAUACCUCUCUCAACAAUCUUUAUGCAACCUUUUCCUCUUGGAGUAUUUACAGAUCGGUUAUUGGCCACCUUCUGUAUUUAUGUUAUACUACCCCAUUAAAGAAUCUUGCCAUUUUUAAGACUCAGUAUUUUGCUUUUCUCAAUUCUAGUCAUCACGUGUCAAUCUCUGAUCAUAUCACAGGCAAUACCAUCAACCAUACCCCAUAGACUUACUGAAUUUGAAUAAUUUGUAAUCUUGACCUUUCCUUCAAUUCCACAAACACACAAUCUCAAAAUCCUGCAGUUUUCAUCUAAUAACAUAAGUCACAAUUGCGCCUACUUUCACCAGAUCAUUGUUCACUGUUUUCACACGUGCCCACAUGAGCCUUAUAAUAUGUAAUGAUUGCUGUUGUAAAAGCAGUUAUAAAAACUAUCUGAUAAGAAAUUAAAUGCAUCACGUGAUGAAUGUAAAAUAUAUUAUUUACAUAACACAAAAACAUUACAACUAAAAAUCAAUAUGCAGAGAGUGGCCCCCAGCCAACCACACAGGAAUCUCCACCUCAGCCACACUUAAUAACUGUAAAUAAUACAUCUCAAGGUCUUGAUUAUUAACAAGACAUUACAGAGGCAAAAACAGAACAUAUAAACAAUACUAAAUCAUAGAGCAUUUUACAGCUAACAACUGGGAAAUUUAAUUUGAAUGUUGGCAAUUUUUAAUUUCCACUUGAGCAUACUUAAAAUGGUAUCUUAUCUUAUGUAAGUAAUACUUCCAUGCUCUGUAUAAACAUUAGGCAAGGCCAGCCCAAGACACUGAAUUUGCCACCUCUGACCAAGGGAACCCUUAUUGGCUGGCUCUUUUCAGAAGAUUUUUUUUUUCCAUUUGCAGUCAUGCCAAAAAAGUUGGCUAGCUUAAAGAACAUGAUUGAUGAUAUUUUGAUAUUUUGGUCAUAGUUUACUUUUUAAGUUAACAAAAAACCACUGCAGCAAUCCUGCCACGAACUCGUAUGUAUAAUUACACCUUCGGCCUGUUCCUCAUGUCAUCUAUGCAAAGAUGCUUUUUCUCUCACAAGCCCAAAUGAUUACAUGUUCUGCCAACAGGUCCACAUACAAUGCCAAACCCUCAAAUAACCGGUAUCACCCUGCUAUUUCAGGUGGGAUGGGGGAUGGUGGGUACGUUGUUUGCAAUCAUCAUGAUAUGUAAAUAUAUACAAAUAUUUGUAUAUACAAAUGGCACUUCACAGCUCAAUGCCAGGCAAUAGUGUUUGGUCUGGCUGACUGAGUCUUUUUGAGUACAUAAGAGGGCCCAUAAUAACUGGGUAGGAGGCUAUCGCUCAAAUCUCUCCACAGGCCUACCAGUCUUUUCACAGUAUGUGAGCGACAAUGAGGAAGUAGACUAGCUCUCCCUGGCAAGAAAAAAGGUAAACCAGCAUCUUGACAUUGCAAUCCUUUCUUAAAUAAGAUACUUGUAAGGAACAAAUGAAUCCUGCCUAUCCUAUUUCAUAAAACUGUACUUGGUGUUUUUUUUUGUUUUGUUUUUUUAAUUCUUUAUUUUUGCCGUGCAUAAUAACAGUUUCAUGUUUACAAUACCGUGACAGUAAAAUCAAAGGUUCAACAUAUCUCAAUAUAGGUAUUUCCAUUUAGGCGACUGCACAAUGUGGUGAAAACUAAAGUCUAGUUAUUCCAAUAGAGGUGUGUUCUCUGGGUUAGGUUGAAGGGAUCAUGAUACUCAACUACAUGUAUUGCCGAAGUCUCAGCCAUUGCGUUAUUAGCUUUUCCUGGUGGCAAAUGUAUGUAGUAAAUGUCUCGUGCCGUCUGAUGGAAGUAACCUGUUAACUUUUUGUAUGAAUUGACUAUGUGUGGGUUAUCCUCAGGUCAGUAUGAUGUGGCGUUAACCGUGAUCUGGCGCCAUUCUGUAGCUCUUGACCUAUCUGUGGGGUGAUGGGGGGGGUGAGGAUGGGUGAUGGAGAUCCUCCAAGUUUAGGCGGCACUCUAAUCGGGCUUUGAGAUCGUAUAGUGGGGUGAGGAGUGUGGGGCUCUCAGGUAGAGGAGUUAUAUGCACUCCUCUGAGCAUGGGCCUGUGUGGCUGACUAGGGCUCAAAGUGUUUCUAUUAGUGCCUCGUAUUAUGCGAGUAGCCAUAUGACCUCGUAUCAUUUGAUAUAGAGAAGGAAAAGUAUAAUGCUUAAGAUUCGGGUUUAACAUUAAAUAGGUAUCUGCUAAGAUUACGUAGCUUAAGAUCGAGUUUUGCAUGGGAGAAGUUGCCUUGCAGCCUUUGAAGCAUGAUAAUUAUCUAAACAACGCUUUAAAUCUAUAUUAAACAUACAACCAGUGAAUUUCGUUAUAAAUCCUGUUUUAACGUGGGUGGAGAUGUCCCAAAGUUAUUAGACAAAGUGGAACAACAUCUUAGAAGGUCGUAAUGGGCGUCGAUAAUCAGGUGACAGUGUCCCGUCUGGUCCUGGGUGUAAAAGGGGUGAUGUUGUUCACAUCCCAGUCGGCUGGCGUUGUCGGUGUCGCUUGCGUAGCAGGUAGGUUCAGGGCCUGUAGAAAGGCUGUACAGUCCGAGGCCCUGUAGUGUGUCCCGUUUUUAAUCACCGUGAUGGCUCUGGGGUGGGACCAUCGGUAUGCCAGUGCCGCACUCUUUGGUGAUUGGUUGCAUGGAUUUCCUCCAUAGUAGCGUUGCUCUGCAGAGGUCUUGGAAGAAGGUACGUGAAAAUGAUUCAAAUUUUAAUGGUGUUUUCCCCUUCAGAGCCGUGAAGAUCCUUUGCUUAUCUGCAUAAGACUGGCAACAUAAGAUGAUGUCUCGGGUUGAGGUGGUGGGCGCUUGGGGGGAUUUAGCGAUGCGGUACACACCUUCAAAGGCGAAUUGCUUGACCGAUCGUGUCGCUAGUAGGAAGGCGACCAGUCGCCGGACAAAAUGUGGUAGUUCAUCGGGGGGGGAGCAUGUCAGCGACUCCCAGUAUCUUGAUGUUUUUACUCCUACUUCUGUCUUCUAAUUGCUCCAUUCGGCUCGAUAAGUGUGAGUAAGAGGAGCUGAGGUGUUGAACUGUGUCCCCGAGGUUAUCUAUGCCCUGUUUCAGUGAGGUUAUGUCUGCCUCUGAGGUGUGUAGCCUGGCAGUUACCUGCUGUAUCUCAGACUUUACUGCUGUGAUGUCAGUUGUAAAGAGCCUCUGCAUAUGGAGGAAUAAGUUGUAUAUGUCUCCCUUUGUAGAUGGAGCAUCGCUGUCUCCUAACAGCAGGGACCCCAGGUCCGGGGUAUUUUCCUCUAUUGGAGUAUGUUGGGCCGCAGGCCGCAGGGGUGCCGUUUCUUUUGAGCGGCACCGAGGUGAGCAUUUGCCCGAUGUCUUGGCUAUCUCUAGCCGCCGGCUGACUUAGCCGCGGGUUUUUGCGGCCCUUUACGUCGUCGGAGGAUUCACCCAGGAUGUUUUUGGUAAAGAGGUCGAAGGCUGCCUCGAGGCUGCUGUCCCGUCCCAGUCGCCGGCUCCACGCGUGGUAGGCCAAAGAUCCUCGAUGCCGAGUUUUGGUGGUCGCCGGGAACAGAAAGGGCAUCUGCGGGUUUGGUGAGCUCUCCUGUGUAUAACUCCAGGGUUUUUGUUUAUGUGUGGCUAGUUUACUUGCCGGUAUUGAGAGUUUUCUUGAUUGAACGGCCGGACCCGGUCUGACUUGCGUCCGUCUCCGUGUGCUGCUUAGCUCCGUCCCCUGUACUUGGUGUUUUUAGUGGUCAUGAUAUGCAAUAUAUACAAAAAUGGGUAUGUUAUCCUGAGACUGAUUCUAACUCCCAAGUCCCUGCCCUGACAUGGGACUUGGGAGAUAGAUCAGCCUCAGAAUAACAUACACAUUUUUGUAUAUAUAACAUAUCAUGACCGCUAAAACACCCUUUGAUGCUUUAUGAAAUUGGAUAGGCAGGACUCAUUCUGUUGUUCCUAAUCAUUCAAGAAUAUUUAUCUUCUAUUGACUCCAAUUAUCUUAAUCAUUUGCUGGUUAUUUCAUGUUGCAACAUGUGUAAUAAACUAAUCGAGAAGAGCAAAGAAGAGAUGAUCUUAUGUCAGCAAGCUUGCAGCAUAUACCUUCAUCAUCAAAACCACAAUAGUUGAUUACUCAAAGUUGUGUGGUAGUAAAAUUCAAUGAAAUAAGAAAUAUAAGUAAAACUCUGUGUAUUGUAAAUUGUGUACAUACACUUGGCAUGAUUAAAAUCAUGAGUUCAUAGACCUCUUUUCUUUAGUAGGACACGUGUCUCAUCAAGAAGACUCAACAGUAGCAGUAAGUCAUGAAUACAGAAUCUCUACCAUCAAAGUUACUGCAAGAUCUAUAUAUAUUAAACAUAUAAACCCAUCACUCAUCUGUUCUUUCAAUAAACCUAGCUAAAUGAUGUUUCAUAAGCCAUUCAUUGCUGAUGCAGCUAAAAUGUAUUUGCAUCAAAAAAGAGCACAGUUAAUGUGUCCUCAUAUGAUAUUAAAAUCUAUAGCUUUUAAGGAUAGUGGAGCUGCAUGGCCAUGAAAGUGUUUACAACUUACAUAUCCUAACGCUAGGCACAUGAAAUCUACCUAAUUUUAGCUCUAUAAACACACAUACACCGGUUGUAAUGAUUAGUGUGACAAUUUAAAUGUUACCAAAGGAUCCACAAUCUGUUACUAUUAAGCAGGGCUAACUUACCCUUCUUAAAACCUGGACGUCUGCUGAGUGGCAUCUGCAGGUCUCUGUCCUACUUCAGCAUUCAAGUGAACCACACAGCCAGAUUUAAUUCAGGAAUAUAAAGGUGCCUUAAUUAGUGUAGUAUUUAAAAUGUUAUAUAUGUUUAUACUAUCAAUUAAAAAUUCACAUCAUAAUACAAGAAGGGCAGUACUGGGUGGGGUGCUGACAUAUUUUAUUCCUGAUGACCCUUCCUAUGAGGACUAAUUGGUCCUAAUUCUGCUAUUUGUGUGGUCUAAAGCUGUGCAAAAUAAGUGGGACAGACCACCCAGCCAUCUAGGACUUGUAUAUGUCUCCAAACCAUCAUCUACCUCUAAAAAGACUGUAAUAAUCCACGUAUGCCCCUAUAGCAUGUACCUCCCAGCCCAGUGCCCUUUUCCAGUGUCCCAGGAGAUGUCAUAGACUGUGGAGGAACUCACAGAUGCAUGGCGCACCUGACUGGGAGAAAACCAUAAAUGUUCUGGAACUCCUAAUCGGAUCGCAGAGUUAUCACAAUCCGGUAAAAAAUUGUUGAGAUCGCUCCCAGUCCCAGAGUCACCAAACAGGGUGCUAUUUGGAAGGGUUAAAGAGGGGGCGGUGAGGCAUCGAAAGAUAUCAAAGACUUUAGGGAGCUCCAUGUACAAAAGGAAAGAGCCAUCAUUGAAGGUGACUUGGGCUUCCCACCCUGUGUUGUGAAACUCUGUGACAAAUUGGAGGAUGUUCGUGGGCAGGUCAAAAAUUUACAUCCAUACUAUUUGGGCUAGACACCUCUGAUCUGGGAGCUUUUUGGACAGCAUGGGUGCUGGAUUGAGAGCAAUCCAGUGGCACUGGUUUAGGGAUACGGAUCUGGGAACGUAUAUUUUUAUGUUAGAAUGUGUCAAGGUGUCUAACCACUAAUAAAGUUAUCUGGUCAGGUACAGGCACAUAGUCGUCAGGUAUGUCACAAGACCCACUGUUUCCCUGGGAACUCCUAGGAUAAAAGAAGUGACAUUCGGGCAAUAAAGGUAUUCUGAUAUCACCCUAAUAUUAAGCCUCAGUUAAUGAUUGGUAAUGGGAUAUAAUCAAUCUAAGACCUAUUCACUAAGGGGGAAAGUGGACCCUGGCAGUGACAUUCAAGCUUUUCGCAGAUAGCCCACCACAAUAAUAAUUUUAGUUCUCAGUUAUCUGCAUAAAUCCCUUAACAUUUAAAUUGACUGUAUUUAAACAUUUAAAUUGACACUUAUACAUCUUGGGAAUAUAUGUGCAACCCACAAAGUUCUAGUGGAUUAGUAUGAAAUGUCAAUAUGAAAAAGUGACUUAUUGUGAAAUCGCAGACUUCAUGAUUAAGAUCUAAACAUCGGUAAUUUAUCACUCCCACACCUUCCUUACACUUAAAUGUAAUCAUUGUGAUAACCACUUUAAAAUUACAUAAAUGUGUCUUUGCGUGGAUGAACCCAUUCUGCACUGUGAAGUAAUGAUUUUUUUAGCCUGCUGAAAGAAGAUUUCAAAUUUAUUUUUUUGAAAAAUAAUAAUCUGACAUACACUAAUGUUAAGAAAUAUAACAUAUAUUGCAUUGGUUUGUUUAUCUUCAGGUAAAGCACGAGUGUCAAGAAAUGGUGACAGAACUCUGGUAAGAACAUUAUUUACACACGUAAUUAGUCCCUGUAGACUGUAUUUACAUUAUGUGUUAUUGUGCAUUCAGACUGCCUGAACUGUCCAUGUAACUUAUUCUGUGUUUGAGCUGAACGAGAACAUUUGUGUGCUGGCGGCACGAAAGCCACCAGCAUUCAUACAGAAGUUUCACGACCAGUGAAUUCCAACACUGUUCGUGAAACGAACAAACUACCGAAUUGGAGGUCGUGUGGCUCCCAUUACAGAUUGCAACAAUGUAUCUUUCGGCAGUUAAUAGAUGUUCAGGGUGGCCGCCGUUCGGAUACCGACCAUGCAACGGCAGCCAUCUUGGGUCCUUUGUUAGCCCCGAGGUGUUUGGUCGUCGAGUGCCUGGAACUAAAAUUGGCUACUCAACGGCACGAAUACCGCGGGACUUCCAGGCCGUUCUGGAGCACCGGUCUUUCGGUAUUUUAUCUCUACAUAGUAUUCAUGACUUCUGUGAAGAAUUUGUAUUCAAGUGUAUUUCGUGCGGCGUUCGGCUAAUUGUGCUGGAAUCUGAGCGGUACUUUCACGAAGUAUGCGCUCAGACCCCAGCUAUCUGCCGAACGGUCAUUCGGUACAAUAGCACGAAUAAUAUUGGAGUUAUGGAUUUUUAUGUAAAAAGACAGUUCUUCUGUACUGAGGGAUAAUCCACUUAACUGGAUAUUCUAGUGGGAGUAUCCCUCUCGUACAGCAGUGCAUGGUGGGAGAAAUGUUCUGUAUGUUAAGUUCACCAUGUAGUCCCCUACAGUACAACCCCUGUAAAGUCAGUAAGGAAACUCCUUGCAUGGGGAACCACAUAAAUACUGGAGCUUGUAAAUAAAACCUCAGUUGACUCCCAGCCUAUGUGUCAUCUAGUUCUUGGGAAGGAAGGAUCUGUAUAAUGCUACCGGGAUUAUUGUAUGCUGUACUUGUUCUAUCUGGAUUAUUAUAUGCUGCUCCUGUCUACCAGCGGAGAUACUGUGGAUUAUACUACCUCUCCACUACAGUCCCUUAAUUAUUUAAUUUCAAAUUACAUUACAAAAUGACAUAAAAUUAAUCCAGCCUUGCAGUAAAAUAAACCAUAACAGACUACAUACAAAUUCUGACAAUUAAGACUUAAAGGAUCACUAUAGGGUCAGGAACACAAACAUGUAUUCCUGACCCUAUAGUGUUAACACCACCAUCUAGCCCUGGGCCCCUCAUGCCUCCAUAAAUAUAGUAAAAAUCUUACUGUAUUCAAGCCAGAAGCUGUAAAUCUGCAUGCUGUUAGACUCAGAAAAACAAACAGUCUUCUGACAUGUGGUAGCCUGAUCCAAUCACAGUGCUUCCCCAUAGGAUUGGCUGAGACUGACAAGGAGGCAGAUCAGGGGCAGAGCCAGCAUGAUUCAAACACAGCCCUGGCGAAUCAGCAUCUCCUCAUAGAGAUGAAUUGAAUCAAUGAAUCUCUAUGAGGAAAGUUCAUUGUCUGCAGAUCUGAGUGGAUGGAGGCAUAUUAUGCCUCCAUCAACUCUGAAGUCCCUCUGGUUCACUCUGAGUGACUGCAACUGGAGGUGUUCCUAGCUUUCAAUGUAAACACUGUAUUUUCUAUGAAAAUAUAGUGCUUACAUGAGAAAGGCUGCAGGGAGCUAUAGUUCUCACCUGAACAACCUCAUUAAGCUGAAGUUGUUCAUGUGACUAUAGUGUCCCUUUAAAAGAGCACUAUAGUGCCAGGAAAACAAACUCAUUUUUCUGGCACUAUAAGGUUAUUAGGUCCCCCCUCCUUCUGGGCUAAAGGGGGUAAAACCCCUUCAGCCACUUACCUUAAUCCAGCACUGGGCUCCAUCGGCGCUGGGGACCUCUCCUCCCCCUGCCGACAUCAGCUCCGAAUGCACAUGCGCGGCAAGAAACGUGCACGCAUUUAAACCGCCCAUAGGAAAGCAUUACUCAAUGCUUCCUAUGGACGUCCAGCGUGUCCUCAAUGCGAUUUUCGCAUUGAGGAUUGCGGAAGCAGCAUCUAGUGGCUGUCAGUGAGACAACCACUAGAGGUUGGAUUAAUCCUCAGUGUAAACAUAGCAGUUUCUAUGAAACAGCUAUGUUUACAGCUGCAGGGUUAAACCUGGGGGACCUGGAACCCAGACCACUUCAUUGAGCUGAAGUGGUCUGGGUGCCUAUAGUGGUCCUUUAAGCAGGUUAAGUCUUUUUUUUUUUUUUUAUAUAUAAUUCUUUAUUUUUGAUAUGCAGACAGGUACAACAGUGCCUGUAUCGCCACAACGGCAUCAGCAGGCUCGAUUAUCAUGGUCAUAGCAAAACAGUAACAUGGCAUGUAGGGUUUGCAUAUAUUUUUAAAUAAAAAGUAGUAACGAUUUAAGAUAUAGUCGUUUGUGUAUCAAAUGACAGGCUUAAUAAGUACAUUUCUAAACAAGGCUUAACAAAUGAACCUGGAAUGAGCAGGUACAGUAAAUGUCUACGUGUGUCCCUGAAUGUGAGGCAUCAAGGUAGUAUGCAACAAGCUUAGCAUCGUUUAGGGUGCCACUGGUCAUGCCAGGUGAUAAGUUAGCGGUAGUAUUAGUAUAAGAGUGUUGUUAAAAGGGGCCACCCAAAUUAGUGAUAGUCUGCCUCGAAAUUAUAUAUUCUGGUAUUCUGUAUUUUUUGUGUAACUAAUGAACAUAACAGUCUUGCAGACAGCGGACCAAACACUUGCAAUAUCAUACACUUAUUAACCUCGUCAUGGCAUUUAGAUUUCUUGCACAUUUUUUGUUACGUUAAAUGCAGCUGCUAACAUGCUAGUCAGGGACGUCUAGGUAGAGUGGACAUGUAGUAGGUUCAUGAGAAGUUCUAGACAAAGGAAUUAGAAAAAUUGCAAAAAGAGAAGUGAUAAUUAUUAUCAGAGGUAAUAACAUGACAGGUGUAUAGUCGCCAUUUUGGGCAGUCGGAAUCCAGGACAACCACCCCAUAACCCAACCCAAUAACGCACAUACUAGAGGAUAUGGGGAAAUAUGUCCACAGCUUUAUUUAGCAAACAAUAAUAAUAACAAUAAUAAUCAUAAUAAUAACUUAACAAGUAAACAUGGGUCAUUGCCCCCAUACUCCGCCCUCGCAUCCUAUUCCUUCCAUUAACAUAUAAAGGGCAAUGACCCCCAUAUAAAUAAACAUAUAUAUAUAACAUACAUCAACAUUAUUCCAAUCGAUGUAAAGUGCCAACCAUCCAUUAACCACGGCAGGGGUAUACCCGGAUACCCCUACCCCACCAGGUUCUGAGCCACCGACAGGACUCGAAACCUAUCAACCACCAAUGACCACCACUUGUUUGUCUUCCAUUACGUUCAUCCUGGGGAGCCUAUUUCCUCUCCUUCAGCUCCCCGUCCCGCCGCUGUGAAAAAACGGGACAAAACCACACAUAACAAAACAGGGAGGGUGGGUGGGACAAACUUAACCAGGUAGGAAGUUAAAAUGAAUUAACUAAAAUGGCUGCCCAUUUAAAUAACCAAACCCACUUACCCAUAACUCCACUCCCUUGCUUACUUCCUCCUAGGCCCGCCUCCUAACCCCUGUCAAGGCCUUUUUCCGCUUAGCUGCGCUUGGCUACAUGGGGCUACAUGACAGGUGUAUAGUCGCCAUUUUGGGCAGUCGGAAUCCAGGACAACCACCCCAUAACCCAACCCAAUAACGCACAUACUAGAGGAUAUGGGGAAAUAUGUCCACAGCUUUAUUUAGCAAAUAAUAAUAAUAACAAUAAUAAUCAUAAUAAUAACUUAACAAGUAAACAUGGGUCAUUGCCCCCCAUACUCCGCCCUCGCAUCCUAUUCCUUCCAUUAACAUAUAAAGGGCAAUGACCCCCAUAUAAAUAAACAUAUAUAUAUAACAUACAUCAACAUUAUUCCAAUCGAUGUAAAGUGCCAACCAUCCAUUAACCACGGCAGGGGUAUACCCGGAUACCCCUACCCCACCAGGUUCUGAGCCACCGACAGGACUCGAAACCUAUCAACCACCAAUGACCACCACUUGUUUGUCUUCCAUUACGUUCAUCCUGGGGAGCCUAUUUCCUCUCCUUCAGCUCCCCGUCCCGCCAUAAGCUCAGACCCUGACCCCUUAAGCCGUCUGAGCUCCGCCACCCCGAAGAAACAGCGCCCGCUGCAUACCAACCUGCCAACCCAAGUUGAGCAGAUCCCAACCCACCUCCGAAAGGUGAACCCCAUCCGAGCGGUAGUACCCCGGCAACCCCUCCUCCAACUCGCUGUGCCGUACCACCACACCUCCCAUCUUCCUAAUGAAGCUCGCCAUUAAGCUGUUCACCUUUUUCCUGCAGUGAUCAAUCGCCACCGGAUCCCGCGCGUGCCGCCAUCGACGCCUUGGGACAAUCUCCGACCACACUAACAUAACCCCCGGAAGCAGGUCCCUCAAUUUGUUGAUGUCCUGCUUCAUCCACUUUACCAACCGACGUUGUGGCGUGAGGGCCAAGUCGUUACCCCCAGCAUGAAGGACCACCAUGUCCGGUGUCCUCCCGCCCACCACCAUCCUAAACAUUGCCCCACAAACCUCCCCCCAGCAAAAUCCCCUGUACCCAAACCAUCGGACUGUCAACUGGUCCUUCGGAAAGCCCAGCUGCUGGCCCUGCAUUCGAGCUGCGGCCCUCCCCUCGGCCCAGAAGACAAAAGAAUGUCCCACAAUCCAAGCAACCCGUCCUGGGGAGAAGAAGAAAACAAGCAUGAGGGAAAGGCAAAAGAGGACUCCUCCGUCCAUGUCCGCCCCCGCACCAUAUCUAUACAUACACAUAUAUAAACAUAUACCUGCCUUUUCCCUUUUUUUUAUUUUUUUUUUUAUUCCAAUAAGCCCAACCGCACAUAUGAGCGGAACCGCACCGACUCCCAUCUCCCUAUGCGCUUCACGACCUCAUCUCCUAAUCCCAACCGUGCGGCCUCCGUGGCCGCCCCAAUGCGAAAGGAGUGAGUACCAAAACGUCCGUCCGGAAGCCCCAACUUACCUAGCCCGGCCCGAAAAACCUUUGUAAACUGAAACCGGGACAGGGAAGAACCAUCCGCAUGUACCAAGAAGGAACCCCCUACCGCCGGCCUCCGAGCCAUGUACUCCGCCACUGCAGCCACCGGGCACAAUGCUGCGCCCGGCAGAGCCCAUAGCGUAACGUCCCUACCCACGCCACGGACGUCCGUCUUAGAACUACCCAGAUGCAAAACCACCUUACCCUCCAAAACACGAACCCCUGAGGCCUGCAGACCCCCGGGCACCACCCUACUGGCACUCACCAGCUCCCCCACGCGGAACGCCCCGAAAAAUGCCAAGAGAAAAGCCGCUCUGAACAGAGAGACCUCAAACCCGUUGAAACAAAUUUCCGGCAACCGACCCACCAGAUCCCCCAAUACCCGUACCGACACCGGGCGCCUAGAGUCACAGGUCCUGCGGCCCUUUCGAUAACCCUUCAGUGCCUGCCGUACUAGGAAGGUCUUAGUCAGAUCCUCCGACCCGCGCCAUCGGAACCAGAGCGCCAUUGCCGCCAUGGACCUGUCGACCACUGCCGGGGACGCCCCCUUUGCCAGCAAUUGGCAGGUGUACCAUAGAAAAGCGUCCCGCAGCGCAUCCCCACGUAAGCCAUGCUCCAACCCGUCUAAUGAUCGUUCCCAAGAGUCCCAGACCUUACUGUAGGAGGCCCAUGUGGCUGGUGCCAGUGAAGCCUUCACAAGUCCCCCAAGCAGGACGCUCCCAGCUGCCAUAUCUCGUCCGGGCAAGCCUCCCCUUCCUUCAAUGCUCCUGGCGCCAUCGACCAAAAUCGGGACCACUGAAAAUGAGACAGAGCGUCAGCCACCUCAUUCAGGUACCCAGGGACAUGACGCGCGCGAAACACAACAUUCCGUGACAUACACAUCAACACAAAGCGCCGCAGCAACCUAACCACCGGCUUAGAGGCCGCCGAUUGAUUAUUCACCGCAUGCACCACCGCCAUGUUGUCCGAGAAAAAGACCACUUUCUGGUCCCGGAGCCCCUCGCCCCAUAGUGCCAUUGCAACGACCAACGGGAAUAAUUCCAGAAAAGCCAGGUUGCGCAUGACUGGGCUAGACCCCCAUGCCUCCGGCCACCGCUCUGCGCACCAUCUCCCGCCAAAGUAGGCCCCGAAGCCCACACUACCCGAAGCAUCCGUGAAGAGCUCCAACUCCGCCGCCGACUUACCCGCCCGCCUGAAAAACACCGUCCCGUUGAAAUCCUGCAGGAAGGCAUCCCACACGCCCAAAUCAGCCCUCAUGGUUGCUGACACCCGUAUGAAAUGAUGCGGGGAUCGAACUCCUGCCGUAGCAGCCGCCGGGCUGCGGCUGAAAACCCUCCCCAUAGGAAUUACACGGCAUGCAAAGUUCAGCAUCCCUAUUAGCGACUGCAGUUGCCGCAGCGUAACUUUGCGCUCGACGGUCACCGCAGCUACCGCCCCCUUGAGCCCCUCCAACUUGUCCCGAGGCAGUCGGCAUUCACCCAAGAUAGAAUCUAUUUCUAACCCCAAGAAACUAAGGCACGUCGUCGGGCCCUCCGUCUUAUCCGCUGCCAGCGGCACCCCAAAGUGGCCCGCCACCCAUUCCACGGUCCUAAGCAGUUGCUGGCAUGCUGAGGAGGCAGCCGGCCCCACGCAAAAGAAAUCGUCCAGGUAGUGCACCACCGAACGGUUCCCCGCCUCGACCCGCACCACCCAUUCGAGAAAAGUACUAAAUUUCUCGAAAUAGGAGCAUGAAAUAGAACAGCCCAUAGGGAGGCACAAGUCCACGAAAUAUUUUCCCUCGAAAAAACAUCCCAACAGGUGGUGGCAGUCCGGGUGGACUGGCAGCAGCCGAAACGCCGCCUCAAUAUCCACUUUUGCCAUAAGUGCCCCAUGCCCGGCCCGUUUAACCAGCUCGACCGCCCGGUCGAAUGAUGCAUACGAGACCGAGCAUAGGUCCUUAUCAAUACCGUCAUUCACCGACUCCCCUUUUGGGUAGGAGAGGUGGUGAAUGAGCCGGAAUUUCCCCGGCUCCUUCUUUGGCACCACCCCAAGAGGGGAAACCCGUAGGUCCUCCAAUGGGGGCACCGCAAACGGGCCCGCCAUCCGCCCCAGCGCAACCUCCUUGUCUAGUUUCUCCCGUACCACCCCCGGGAAAUCCGCCACCGACUUCAGGUUGCGCAACCCCCCCGAACCCCUCCGCUCCCGGAAGGGAAUAAAGAAACCCCGCCCGAAGCCUUCCCUAAGUACCGAGGCAUCAGUCCUGUUACCGUAGCGGCUUAGCCACGGCUCCAUCGCGUCUAGCCUCACCGGCGUGAAGCCCCGGGGCAGGGGAAGCAUUCCCUCCGGCCCCGGCAGCCGCUCCGGCUGUUCCCGCCUUCCCUUUUUUGAAACAGCGAUUGAGCCCAUGAGCACCCCCGCAACCGGAGCACUCAUGCUUAAAUCGACACGCGUUUCCCCAUUUGCACUGGCCCUCAUUGUAGAGCCAGCAGAAGCCCUUUUGCAAAGCGGCCGACGAGGCGGACUGCCCCUUCGCGCCGGCCGAGUUUGGAAAGGGCUGCGCCUUCUGGGCCAUCAUUAGCUUCAUCCAGAGGGGCAGAUCCAUCUGAUCCCACCUCAUCCCCGGGUUAGCCGCCAGUCGCUGCCUGAACUGUUCAUCGUAGCGCCACCAUGCCAGCCCCCCAUAGGUGCGAUAUGCUUCCCAAAUGCCGUCCAGGUAGCAGAACAGGGACGAGCAUAAUCCCGGCGAUUUUUCCCCGAGCACGCUGGCUAGCACGCAAAACGCCCGUAACCAGUUGCCAAAGGAUUUCGGAAUCUUGCGAUACCGCUUCCUCUUCUCCUCCUCCUCCUUCUUUUCAUCCUUUUUAUCCUCCUCCUUGAGGUCAAUAAAGUCCUCCAAGGGGAGCAGGGAGAAGAUCUCGCAGAACUCACCUUUCCAGAGCUUCUCUUUCACGUCCUGUUUCAGAUGAACCCCCAGGGGGCCCGCAAACGAGACGUAUGCGUGCUGCCUCGCUGCAUCCGGAAUACCCCCGGCCAGUUCCGCCUUGUCACCCCCGGCCGCCAUCGCCUCGGGCGCCACCCCCACGUCCCCGCCCGAACUAAGCCCCACGGAAACCCCACUAGGACCAGGGACCUCCGUCCCCGGGGCCCAAACCCGACCAACGCCACCCCCCGUGUCACCCCCCGCCCCCAGCGAGUGGAGCAGUGCUUGCAGUGUGCUAACCAAGGAACUGGAGUGUAGUGACCCACAAGACUCACCGGCCAAGCCCCCUGCAACUGACGCGGCAGGGGCUGCGUCGUCGACUGCCCGAUGUCCAGGGAGAGCGACUCCCGCCGAUACCUCGCCAACCGGGGAGCCAAACCGGUGCCUUGCCCGUGUCGAUAUGGAACAGCUCCGUGACCUGGAAAGAGGAGAAGAAGUCCUGGGUAGGGUGCACUGAGUAUUCGCAUCCCCCCCGUCUCGACCCUGGGAGCGCCUGCCCCUUGCCAAAGCCUCCCGCUGUGCCCCCUGCACGCGCCGCGCGCGGGAGCCCCUAGGGCUACGGCUCCUCCUGUCUUCCCCGGGCAUCCGUCCCCGCCGACCACCCCUGGGGACGCUAGACCCGCUCUCUCCCGAGCUCCCUGACCUGGAGCGGCGCUGCCGGGACCUCCCCCUCCUCCCCCCUCUUCCCCCGUGGCUCUACUUCCCGAACCGGAGAGGGACUACCACUACAGGACCCUGAACCGGACCCCCCCCCCUACUACCCUGCACCCCCAAACGCUCACCCCUCCGGCUAGAGCCCGACCCCCCACCUGAACUGGCUCCCAGACUAAGGGGACCUAGACCCCCCUCAACCAGACUGGCCCCCCCAACCCCUAAACCAGGCCUACCCGACCCUACCCGCACCGGCCUAGCCCCAGAGCCCAAGGAGGCCCCCUUUCCCCUACUGGGGGAGCCCAGCAGUCCCUCCUCACCCACAGCCCCCCCACCCCUACCACUACUCCCCCCACCUAUGACCCCUAUGCCCUCCCCAUCCACCACCCGCGGUCCCUGGGAGGCCUUCCCACCCCCCACUUGGGCCCUCCUCCCUCCGCCCCCUGACAGGACCCCCCCAGCACUUUUCCCGCCAAGAGGGCCCCGGCCGGAGCCCCCUGCACUUGCCUUUGGGGCCGGGAACCGGCCACGUGUCCUCCCGGUCCCGGCCCCGCCGAUCUCCGCCUCCGACGGGGCGCGCGCCCUCCCGGGCCGCAGCUCCAUGCUGCCCGCUCCUCCAGGGGACCGCCCGGCCACGUCCGACCCGGCAGCCGCGACGGCCCCGUCCCGACCGUCCCCCCGGCGCCGGGCACUGGUCCUAGGCUCCGGCCGCUCGCGGGGAGGCGGGGCCUCUACCACGCGGCUGCCGGGCCUGCUGCCGCCCGCACCGGAGCCUCCCGGACCACCAGGGAUGUCUUCACCGGGUCCCACACCCGGGCUUAGCCGCUCCGGAGGCCUCCUGGCCCGAACAGGCCGUCGUCCGCCACCGUCCUGGCCCUCCGCCGCCGCCGCCAGGGCCGGGCCUAACUGGGCCUUCAGCCAGUCAGCCCCCUGGUGCCUCGCCGCCGACCGGAUCCGCUCCAGCAGACGCUCCACUUCCUCCAUCGGCCCUGCAGGGAGACAAAAAGGAAAAAACCCUACCAAGCCAAGUCUGUGCCCACAGGAGCGAACACAAACUUAACCAGGUAGGAAGUUAAAAUGAAUUAACUAAAAUGGCUGCCCAUUUAAAUAACCAAACCCACUUACCCAUAACUCCACUCCCUUGCUUACUUCCUCCUAGGCCCGCCUCCUAACCCCUGUCAAGGCCUUUUUCCGCUUAGCUGCGCUUGGCUACAUGGGGCUACAUGCUAGGUGAGCCUAGAUCUCAUAGUUUACAUGAGCGUGUGGACAUGCUACAGCAACUUUAGGCUUACAUGCUACAUCGCAGUGAGGUUGAAGGCUUCCCUGUGCAUAUGCAUAAAGUGAAAUUUAACAGGCUUAGUCAGUCAGCUAGUGUCAAGCCGGUGAACACCGUGAAACUAUGGGUACUAGGUAGGUGUUAGACAAAGGAAAUACAUGAUGUACCCUUUCUAGGAGCUAUUGACAAGUGUGGUGAUUGGGUAGUUAAACUGAGCUUGGUGCCCAUACUCGCUUAUGUUGGGGCUAACAUAAAGAAAUGUACAGUAUCUGUAUUUCUGGGCUAGUGUGGUUCCUUAAAGCUUGCCUCCAAGUUGGUAUUUUACAAAAUAAUAAGUAAGAAGUAGGGCAAUAACAGAAAAAACAUGCAAGCAGUGUAUGUAGCAAUACUAGGAGAGGGAAGUCCUGAGAGGCAUGACAGGUUUCUUACCUCUGUUAUUAGCCCCCUGGUGUGGGCCUGUGGGCAAAGAGGCUACCAAGCAAGGUUCCUCCACGUUGGAUACAUUGGUGUAAAUAUUAAAUGACUGCUUGCAUCACUACUUUCUCGUAGCCGUGUGUUACCUAGGGUUUACCCUCACGGCUUAGUCCCAGGGCCAGUUUCAGUCUAUGCCAGCAGGGGGUACGGCAUAGUGCCAGAGUGGGGAGGUAUGCUGCAUGUCUCCUAUCCACUGUGUAAUCCGGUGUGUCGGGGCUCGUGUCUUGUGUCUGUUGCUGCUCGUAUUGCUAUGGGGGUGGCUGAGGCUAGGUCUGGCUGCGGGUAUAAUUAAAUUAAAUUAUAUUAAAGGGAAACAACCGGUUGAGUUGCUCCCCGAGAGGUUCAAGUCCCUUUGGGAGGGCGGGUGUAGUAGUUCUGUGAAGGCAGUUCGUGGUGCCGUUUAGGUAAGUGAAUGUGCCUGUUGCCUCCGUGGUUACCGAGGCAUAGGCGUCUGGUGUAGUACUUCUUGGUAUGAACGCGGUAAUUCAUGCCGGGGAGGCGUGAUCGUGGGAUCUCUCUUGGGUGAGAGAGUCCUGCGGUAGGCCCAAGGUUCGCAAGAGAUUCGCCGCCUCCUGAAUGCCGUGGAUCUGGUGCGUGUUUCCUCCUUGUUGCACUAGGAGUGUUUGGGGGGGCCGCCAGCAGUAAUGUAUGUUGUGUUGCUGGAGCAGGGAUGUGAGAGGCCGGAGUGACCUAUGCCAAGCCAGAGUUCCCCUGGACAGGUCGGCGUAGAAGGUCAGUUGCAUGUUUUCAAACUGCAGGGAGGUUUUACCCCAGAGAGCCGCGAGGAUCGCCGAUUUGUCCUUCCCAUUCCUGAAGGUAAUUAUUGUAUCCCUUGUGGCUGGGGCUGGGGCCCUGGAGGGUUUGGGGACCCGGAAGAGGUCUGUGGGUGUGAUGGGCUUAGCCUGGCCGAGGGGCAGUAUACUGGUCAACAUACGUUUAAAUGCUUGUGGCAGCUCUGCCUCUAGCAUCUCCUCCAGGAUCCCUCCGACCUUUAAAUUAUGUCUCCUUCUGGUAUCUUCUUGGGCCGCGAAGCGGCAUUCAUAUAGUAGGUUAUGGUUUUGUAAAUCCUGCACGGCUGUCUGUAGUGAGAAAAUAUUCCGUUGGUGUUCUUGAGAGGAGUCCUCUAUCGUUGUUAUGCGGCCUGUCAAGCCCUGUAGCUCACCCCUUAGAGCGGUGACAUCCGUGAGGAUGUUUUUCUGUAGGUCUGCUAAUAGUGCUUUUAAUACCCCAGUGGUUACCAGGUCGGCAUCUGGGUCAGCUCUCAGUUUGUUGAGAUUCACCCUCUGCUUUGUGGCUUGGGCUGGGAGGUAGUCAUCCUCGGCAUCUCCAAAGCUGUCAUCCAAAAAGUCCCAGUAGCCUCCGUGGAGAGCCGCCAUUGUGGAUUCGCUUGUGUCGCAUUCUUGCCGCCACAUUUCUCCAAUUGUUAGCCCUGGGGCAGGUUUGUCCGCCGUGGGUUUUUUAUUCUUCCGACCCAUAUGGCUAGGGGUAUUCCCACGCUUGUUCUGUUAACCGUGGGGAUGAGGUGGGCUGUAUUUAGGUUUAGUUUCUUGGUUUUUUUUUUCCUCAGAGCUUCAGGAUUGUGCGUCCGCUUGUCUCGGCAGUUAGGCUCCGCCAAGCAGGUUAAGUCUUAAGUCAAUUAACCCUUCCUUCACUCUACCUUCCCAUUUGCUACUCAACCCUCCCUAGCUGCCUAACCUGUUUUUCCUCUUUCUUUACAAAUCUCCCACGGUUAGGUCCACAUUUAUCUGUAGAAACAAAGCUGUUCAUCGUUUAUAAGACUAGUCUAAUAAAACAUUGUACUAUAAAAAAUACAAUAGAGUCUACCACUUUGAUUCCCCUCAGUCUGAAACGACGUUGACUUCUGAUUUUGUCAAUUCCUUGUGUCUCUUAUUCUAAAGCAUGUCAUUUAUAUCCCUAGUGCCUUUUAGUCCACUGUUGCCCCUAUAUUUGUUAGUGCAGUCAUGCAGUAAAAUGCAUGUCAGUAAUGGGUACAUAUAGCCUAAGGCAAAUAUCAGCUGACAAUAUGCUUGCCUUUAGAGAUUUAACAUAGACGGUGACACCAACACAAGUACUUGUACUUUUUACUAAGGCUGGAGCUAUUAACUAUUGCAUAAUACAAUGGGAUGCCAAGGGAGCAGUAACUGGUGGAUAUAGAGAGUAUCACUUUAAAAAACACAGAGAGGGUGAAGAGUCAUUGGUAAAAGAAAUCUCCAAACCGGUUUAAAAAAAAAAAAAAAAACAGUACUCCAAAACUUUACCCCAAUAUUUAGAGUAAACUGUCUAUGUACCUUAGAUUAAAAUCAACAGCGUGGAACCAUUCUUAAUUUCCAGAGCCAUUAGCAGACUAUACCUCGCUUUCUUACAUCUCACUUAUCACUAGUACACUGCUUGGUUAGCUGAAUUUCUAUUAGAUUUUGUUGCAUUUGUUUGUUUCAUAUACCCUUGAAUGAAAGUAUUGCUUUUUUAUUUUGGUUAGUGCGGGGACUGGAUUUGAUAAAAAUGAAACUUUAUUUUCCACAUUAGCAUAUGUUUUUUUCAUACUGAUCUAUCUAGUUUAUAAUACAACACACACAAAAAAGCACAUUGCACAGAAGAAUUAUUUAUAGAGAAAUGCUGCAUAUAAGUAGACUGACAUUAUAUUGAUUGCAUGUUCUUUAUGUUUCAGGACAAUGAAGAGGGUCUUGUCUAUAUGGUACCCAUCUUCAAUCGAGGCAGUACUCAGAGAGAACCUCCUACAGAACAUGAGACUGAAUAUAUUGCUUUAAGACAUUAAACCUGCAUCCUGCUGAAGACCGCUUAUUCAGGAGACAUGUUUAAAGGA